UAGUUUCAAAUCCUUAACUCUUUUGAAGAUGAACCUUAGUGCAAAGUUGUAGAUCUUGUUGAACUCUACACUUUUGCUUUUGGGCACAUUUCCAUUUGAGCUAUGGUUUGAAAGUUAACUAGGCUUUACAGUGGACUCCCUAUACUUUUGGAAUUUGCAACUAUGCUUUACAGUGGACUCCAUAUACUUUUGGAAUUUGCAACUAAGUCCCCCUUCGUCUACCUCCAGUCCUCCUCCUGUGUUUUUUCUUCUCUGCCCGACCCCGCCGCCCUCGUCGGCCAUGUGCCGAGCUCCUGCUGCCCCCGCGCCGCUUCCCCCUGCGCCACGUGCUGCCCCAGCGCUCGCGCCACCGUUCCCCACCCCGCGCUGGCCUUCUCCUCGCCUCUCCACGUCGCGCCACUGCCGCCUGAGCCACCAUGCCUCCCGCCGGCCUGACAACACCUGCUCCCGCACGACCAAACCUUCUUCUGGACCCCGAGCACAUCCUGAAGCUCCCCACGCACUCACUCUUGCUUUCACGCGUCUGCAUUUCCACUGCCAUUUCCUUUCCCAAGCUCUCCACCUCACCAGACCUCCGCCGCAGCUCCUGCUCGCCAUCGACAGCUGCCUCCGCCGCCUCCCAUCCCCGAUCCAGUGCUCUAGAAACACCCCCACCACCCACUGGUGCUCCCCAGCCCGCCCAAUUUCGCUCUCUUGCACCAGAACAACCGGACCACUACGCCGGUGAGCUCGAGCUCCCGCCGCCGCUUGGCCUCGCCGUCAUCCCGUCAAUCCACCACCUCUUAGCCCCAGCCAAGUGUACCAUCAGCACCACAUCAUCGCGUACAAGCUCUCUGGCCACUUCCCUGCCCCCCUCCGGCACUCCGGCCACCAGAACGCCAUCACCAUCCCUCUGAGCUCCGCUGCCCACCUUUGUUCGCCGUCGACCCGCCGCCUCGGUCCCUCUCUUCCCCAACACCGGCCACCCUCAUGACCGCCGUGAGCUCCUGAACAUUUCCCCUCACUUUCCCGUCGCCGCCGGUGAGCUAACUCGCCGGAAUUUUAUCGGCACCGAUCGUUUUUCCUAUGUAGCCCGACCAAGGACCCAAUUGUAAGGAUUUGAAUCUUUCCAAGGGUCUUUCUGUAGAAAAUCAAUACUCCUCUCUAAUUUCAAACCAGCCAACUUGUAAAAUCCAUAGAAAAUUGUAGAAAAAUCAAAAAAUAGGCAAACCAAUUUUGUUGUACUCCUACAAUCUAACUCUACAACUUUUAUUAAUGAAGUUCAGUUUGAAACCAAACAUUUUUAGAGUUAUUUUAAAGUUUAACAAAAGGGUAUCUUGUGUGUAACUUUUGCAUUUUAGCUUCUUUUUAUGUGAUUUUUGGUAUGCAGCAUUUUUAAGGUAUAUGUAAGAUCGUGUAAAAAUUUCACCUUAUUUUAUGCACUCUAGCUUGAACCAAUAUGAAUUUAUACAAAUCAAGCUCGAAUUGGUUAAAGUUUAUUUAAACAUGUUACUAAGGUUUUCAUGCUUGGAUCUUUUUACCAUGUGAUGAUCUGUAAACGAGUAAUUCAUAAUAAAUGUUUCAAGAAUUUAUAGCACUAUUUUAUCUAAGAUUUGAAUUUAAACCCUAGAUGCAUUAAGUCUAGGAGUUGAAAUGGAACCAUAGAUGCAUGAAUCCUAGGAACCUUUGUAUUGUGCCUGAGUCCAUAUCGAAUAGAUGCUUUGCUAAUAGGACCGGCAGAAGUCGGGUGAUUUCCUGUCACUCGCGCGGUAUAGGAGUUGAAUAUCUACUAUUCUGCAAUCACUAUAAGGAUAAUGGAUGGGGUCAUGUGCAGUAUCAUGAUUUGGAAGAUUACCCCGUCUAUGUUGAUAAAAGUUGGUGGCAAAGCAUUUGAAUGUACUAGCCACAUGCCGUAACCAAUCGGCCCGAGGAGUGGACAUACCUCCCACCACUCGUAAUUUGGUUUUUCACACGCACCGACGUGCGGGAGUACGUUCCGCACAGCGGAUAGGAGUACGAGCAUGUAGUCACACUACAGACGUAUGUCCUGCACAUUGGAUGUGCGUAUGGUCAUACAGUCGCUUGUGGUGGCCCUGUUCCACGAGUCGGAAUGAAAGGCAAACGGUUGCUUCGGAAUGAUCGUUGGAUGUUCCAAGCGUGUGAGUUAGGUUUACCUUUGGAAGGUUUGGAAAUUUGAUUCAGAAUCGUCCGUUUCUCACGGAGAUUGAGAUUGCUUAUUCCUUCUGCCACAUAGAGUAAGAACAAUAACUAUUGUUGGAACAAUCUUGAUGGAUGUUAAUCUCUACCUUGCUUGUCUAGUAUAGGUGCUUACCUAGAAUGGUUAAUGAAACUAGAAUUUGAAAGCUAAAACAUGAAAGUUAGAUCAUACUCUUUGUUGCUUUUUAGCAAAAGAAAACUAAGCCUCUCAAAUUCUUCAUGGUCUAGUUAUGGGCUAAGUAUACCCGAUUCCGGUUAAGUCUUGCUGAGUAUUAGUAUACUCAGUCUUGCUAGUCUACUUUUCAGGUAUGACCUUUGAGAACCCCAUGGAUGGUCCAGCAUGGCCAAUUUCUGUUCCGUUUGGCUGGUCCGUGGAAUGGGAUCCGUCCCCGGCUGGCAGUGACCCUCCAGAAUGACACCAUGUUUCGGGCUGAACUUGGUGUCAACCUCCGCGACGUGUGUAGUCGUGUCGCGUGUUUAUUUCUUCCGCUGUGACUUUACACAAGUUUGCAUAACUUGUGGUUUUCAAUCAAUGUUUGUAUAAGUAUACUUAAGUUUGAAACGGUUUGUAAUAAUGUUUAAUAUUCUGUGAGUUAAAAGUUGGUGAGCUGUAUGCGAUUGUAAACUCGCCUUCGUGCGAGGUAAACCUGCUUCGAUCCUGUUGAACCGUGGUUGCAUCGGGCGAAGACCCGACAGACUAAUGGGUUGUUCCGUUUGAAGUGCAUUGAGUUAGUAUCGGUUUUAUAGUGAUGACUAGCGCACUUGAACUGGAAUAAUUCAGGCGGUUCUGCCACAGCUGGUAUCAGAGCUGUAGGUUUACUCUUACAACUGCAACAGCUCUUACAAAUGUUUUCAGGAUAAAAUUUGCUUAAUAAAAGAAUUUGCAAAGUAUGUUGGAUUCGUUAAGGAUGGUGCUUAGAUCGUAAAGCCCUAGGGAUUUAUAUGGGAAUUAUCAGGUGGCUACUAGUACAUAUAUAUGUAUAGUCAGUUCCAACUUGCAGUACUACUUUCUGUUAAAACUUACUUUCGAGCACAACCAACCCUAGAUAUCUAUUGGUAUUAUCCGUUCCUCAACAUUGAGAUGAGAAGGUAAGAAGGUAAGGAUCCUCAGCCAACUGAGGGAGAUUGGCCUUCCCAUCGGUGAUGCGAACCGAAUGCUGUUUCUCAAGCAGUAGCUUACUUGAGAUGCUGCCAAUAUAUAAACGAUUUGUUGAUUAUAUUGGGAGUAUAUGGUUCGGCGCAGGGUAUGGCGAUCGCUGUUCAUACCCCCAUUUUAUACGGUACCCCCGUGAAUACGUUGCAGAUGUAAUGUAUGCUAACGUCGUCCGUAUGGCGGAAAUUGUACGGAUACUGUUUCUAUAGUGAACAAUGCUGUUUGGGAACGCUUUCAUGUCAUGCUGCCAUGAAAGGUUCAUGUUAUAUACCUAUGGUUUUCUAUAGGUACACUAACCAUGAUUAAGAGGUUAAGACGGAUAGGACUUAUCGAUUAGUUAUUAGUAAGAGACGUAUGUGUUAUGCCAUCGAAAUUAACCACGUAAGUCCGAAGAUAUUUGGCAAUUGUUUUGGUUGUGAGGUCGAAUAGUACGUGCAUGCAUAAUCCAUCCAUAAUCAAAAUAAAUGCUUUGAAUGUGUUGUUCUUUCAAGGAUGUAUAGAGUGUUGUCUAUCUUUAGUGUGGUUUCAAUAGGAUUCUUGUGGUAAUCUUAGUUGGGUUUUCAGCAUCCUUCAAAAUCUCACCAUCUGAAUUCUUGUUUUAGAUGGUGGCUCCUUCAAACAUCUUUUGGGAUCAUGCAGGGUAUCUUCAUACCAAUGCCUUGCACUGGGAGGGUUUUCCCCAUCUCUUAUGGGAAUCACUUAGUAUAUUCUUCUACACCGAGCCCCCACAGUACGAUGGAGUGGAGUAUAGAGAGGAAGGUGUUUCCCGGUGCAGAGUCAAGAUGACUAUUCCUCAGCACCCUUUUCGUUCUCAGUGGCAGCCCAUCGAGGUUGAUGUGGUUGGCUACCGUCUCAUCGAUACUAUUGAGACCGCAGCUCUUGAGGUCAUCCAUAUUUUCUGCAACCAGCAUCCCAUGGAAGUUGCAGGGCAUCCUAUCGGCCUAUUCCCAGCAAUAGAUUUUAGUGAUCCUGAGUGGAACUUUCGGAUAGCCCAUUAUGGCCAUAUGUUGGGAGAUUCAGCCGAAGAAACGCUCCGUGGUACCAUCAAAUUCAUGAAUGUUCAGCACCACUAUCAGAUUCUGCUACACCGUGGUAUGGGUCAGUUGACUGGUAUAGCUCAAGGUCACUAUCGAAAUGCUGAUCGACAGGUCACUCAGAUAGAAGAGCUUCAAGCAUUGGUCACGAGACGGAGGAAAUCAUCGCAGAGCGGGAAGAGACCAUUAUUCACCAGGAGGAUCAGAUCAAUGAGAGUGAUGCAAUAAUCAAUCAACGUAACACGAUUAUGGAGUUCCUCUAGGAGCAAAUCCAUGAUCUUAUCCUUAAGGUUGAUGAUGCCCAUGCUCACAUCGACGAACUUCAGCAGCAACCAGUACCUCCUGCUGUACCUGUAGCACCUGAAGGUGAAGAAGAAGACCUAGAGGAAAUCGAGGGAGUUUCUGAUCUCAACUCCGAGCACGGAAACCUAGAGCCUAACCCUCAGCCAGAUCACUCCUCUUCCAGCAGCCAGUCCUCCGUAUGUGACCUCGACGAUUUCUAGUCCCUCCAAAUCGUCGAUCUUUUCAGAUAUAACUAGUGUAGACUGUUGUGACAUAGGUAGUAGGUAGUCUACCGGACCCAGAUGUGGCAGAACCGCCUGAAUUAUUCCAGUUCAAGUGCGCUAGUCAUCACUAUACAGGCGAUACUGACUCAACGCACUUCAAACGGAACAACCCAUUGGUCUAUCGGGUCUCCGCCCAAUGCAACCACGGUUCAACAGGAUCGAAGCAGGUUUACCUCGCACGAAGGCGAGUUUACAGUCGCACAACAGCUCAUCAACUUUUAAUUCACAGCAUAUUAAACAUUAUUACAAACCGUUUCAAACUUAAGGUAAACUUAUACAACAUUGUUUAAAGCGACAAGCUAAACAUGCCUGUCAAGUUCACAGUGAAAGAAAAUUAACACAUGACUAUACACAUCGUGAAAGUUGACACCACACUCAGCCCGAAGUAUGGCAUCAUUCAGGAGGGUCACUGCUAGCCGGGGACGGAUCCCACUCCACGGACCGGCCAAAUGGAACAGAAGUGGGCCAUGCAGGGUUAUCCGUGGGGUUCUCAAGGGUCAUACCUGAAAAACAAACUAGCAAGACUGAGUAUACUAAUACUCAGCAAAACUUAACUGGGUCAUGGUAUAUAUAGCCAUGUAGCUAGACUUAUGCUGGCUUGUAAUGGUUCUAGGUUUAAUUUCAGCUGAAAAGCAUCAAAGAGUAUGAUCUACUUUCAUAUUUUAGCUUUCAGUUUCUAGUCCCAUUAAUUAUUCUAGGUAAGCGUCUAUUCUAGACAAUCAAGGUAGAGAUUAACAUCCAUCCAGAUUAUUCCAUAGUGGUUACUGUUCUUACUCUAUGUGGCAGCAGGAAUAAGCAGUCUCAAUCUCCGCGAGAAACGGAAGAUUCUGAAUUGAAUUUCCAAACCUUGCAAGGGUAAACCUAACUCACACGCUUAGAACAUCCAAUGAUCGUUCCGAAGCAACCGUUUCCCUCAUAUUCCGGGCUAUGGAUUAGGGCCACCACAAGUGACUGCAGGACCGUACGCACACCAAUUGUGCUGGACAUACGUCUGUAGCGCGACUACAUGAUCGUACUCCUGUCUGCUAUGCAGAAUGUACUCCCACAUGUUGGUGCGUGUGUACAACAGAAACCAAAUAAUCGGGUGGUGGAGACAUGUCCAUUUGCUGGGCCAAUCAGGUACUUGGCUUACCGCUUUACCAUAUUUCGCGGUAUGUGGCCAGUACUUUCAAACGCUUAGCCACCACUACCACACACUACGACCUUAACAACUUUUAUCAACACAGAUGGGGUAACUUUCUGAGUCAUGAUACUACACAUGACCCCAUCCAUCAUCCUUAUAGUGAUUGCAGAAUAGUAAACAUUCAACCCCUAUAUCGCGCGAGUGACAGGAAAUCAUCCGACUUCUACCGGUCCUAUUAGUAGUGCUCUAUGCGAUAAGGACUCAGGCGCAAUACAUUGGUUCCUAAGAUUUAUGCAUCUAGGGUUCCAUUUCAACUCCUAGACUUAAUGCGAGAUAUAAUAUAUAAGUAUAGAAUUGCAUAAAUGUAGUAAUUGGAAAUACUAGGUUAUGCACCGGGGCUUGCCUUCUUGAGCGGUGCUAGGGUCAGUGGUGUCAGAGACUUCCGAACUUUGGUUUGGGGCUUCAGUUAAUAUCUUGGCGCCGCUCGUAGGAUCUUCAGAAAGUCUAGGCUCGGGUUCCUGAACCAGCUCGUAGAUUCCGUCGUCGAGUGUUGCUGACUCUACAUAAUAUGCAAUGAUUUAAGUGGGAUGGUUCUUGAGUUAAGGAUUUUACUUCACAAUAAAGUUGCAAUCCAAUAAAUUAACAAAUAGAAACUCAUGAAACAAGGGGGGUUUGGAUUCAAAUCUACUAUUUAUACUUAAUUUAUGGUUAUAUUAAUGGAAUUACUUUAAAGUAAUUUGAUAAGUUUGAUUUUUAUUUUAAAAACCAUUAAGGUUCUGACCUUGAACUUUUGUGGAUAAGCUUAUUUCUAGUGGGUAGGCUUACUAUGAAUUUUUCAUAAUUUUCUGAAAAUACAAACUAGGGUAUUAGCUCAAGUUAAUCUAAUUGAAGUUGCUGAAGACCCAAACCAAAGUUCGGAAGUGCCCCCGACUAGUUUUGCCCAAGUAGGCAAGCCCCAGCGCAUGAUCCUAGUGUUUCAAAUUAUGAAACUACUGUUCCUUUUUACUAUACAUUUAAGUUCAUAAGAGUUGAUUGGAACCCUAGCUGCAUGAUUCUAGGCACCUAUGUAAUGAAUACUAGAACUAGGAGUUCGAGCAGAUGCUCUACUAAUAGAUUCGGUAAAAGUCGAGUGAUUUCCUAUCACUCGCGAGAAUUAUAGGAGUUGAAUGAUUUACUAAAUACUGCAACUAUAAGGUCGACGGGCGGGGCUGUGGCACGAUGCUCAUGGUUGAGGCCCUGUCUGAGUAGAGAAAAAUGCUAAGGCCGCAGUGUGUGUUAGUGGUGGUUAAGCGUUUGAACGUACUAACCAAAUGUUGAAAAUAUGGUACUCGAUAAGCUUAAGUACAUGAUUGGUCCAGCAAGUGGACUUUACUUUCACCCUACUUGAACGAAGCUCAGAUGCGUAUACACAUGCGACUGCAGAGCGUGGCUCUGUAGUCCGGGAGGGUGACCCUGAUCCACAACCCGAAAAGAAAGGGGAAAAGUUGUUUGGGGUGACCCUUUAGUGCUCCAGGCAUCUGUGUUAGGUUUGACUUGCAAGGUUAAGAAAUUCGAUUUGAAUCAUCUGUUUCUUACGGUAAUUGAGACUGCUUAAUAAUUCUGCCACAUAGAGUAACAAGAGAAACUAUGGCUAUGAUGAAACUUGUUGGAUGAUUAAAUAUUUUCCACCAUGUGUGGUUAGAGAUAGAUUCUCACUUAGAAUGGUUAAAUGAACUAGAAACUUGAAAGCUAAAAUUUGAAAUUAAGGACUUACUCUUUGUCGCUUUCUGGCAAAAAAAGAAAACCGAGAGCCUUAGAGCCAUGCAUGCAUAGGCGUUGGUUAUGAAUACCGUUAGUCGAGUAAGCCUUGCUGAGUAUUAGUAUACUCCGCCUUGCUUGUGGCAUUGUUUUCAGGUGUGCCUUUUGAAGAAAUGAUAGCUGGUUUGACAUGGCCUUGUACCUUGCUGCUUGGUUGGUCCGUGGAGUGGGAUCCGUACCCGGCCAACGAUUACUCUACCGAGUGGUGCCACAUACAAGCUUCAUAGAGGAUCGUGCUUUCUUUCCGCUGCUUUUAAACUCUGAAUAAAGUUUUUAUAUUUGAACUCUGAUGUACUUGUUUUAUGAACUCAGCUUGUAAUAAGUAAUUAUCAGACUUGUGAGGUAAAAGCUGUGAAUUGUUGUAAUCUCUAGACUUGCCUUCAUGCAAGUUAAGUGUACGCUUUGUUUCGAUCGAAAUAUUCAGUGGUUGCAUCGGGAAUUACCCGACAGACUGUCGGAUUACUCCGUUUGAAGUGCAUGGUAGCCGUUUCGCCAUUAUAGAUGAUGAUUAGUGCACUUGAGCCAGAUUAAUUCGGGCGGUUCUGCCACAUAGGGCAAGCCCAAAGGCACAACGAACCGAUAUCCUUACUUAGAACAUCUGGCCUAACCACAUAUAAAGCAUAAACUUAUGGAAGAACAAGGCAUGGUAUGAUAAACUAUCAAGAUAGCAUAGCAACCACGACUAAGCUCUACAUUACAAAUAGGAUACUGACAAGUCAAAUACAAAGCCAUACCAGUGGCCGAGGAUUGCUCAACGACCUCGAGGAUGACUGGAUUCGCUAAAGAGAGGUUCUAGCCUAGCUGCACUACCCUAAGGAUUAAAAGUCACAAAGUGAGAGAGGGAGAGAGGCUAUAAUGUGUGGUGUGUGUGAAUGAGGGGGGAGGAGGCCUCCUAUAAUAGCCUUCAAGGGCGGUUCCCGCAAUCUUUAUGUAUGGAAACCUUAGCCACGGUCUUGAGGAAGUGUAGGGGGUACUCCACGUCAAAAUGCACCUGGACAGAGUCCAUCUCGGUUCGGCCAACCCCAGGUGGAGCCUCUCCAACUCUGCCUUCCUCUAGCUAGCUGGCAUGUGGGCCCUGGUGAUGAUCCUUGGUGAUUUGAGCCUUGGCGCGCCCGUUUGGGAUGAUGGUCAUUGAGAACAGCAAUAACGAGCGUAUCCCACAAUGAACUGUCUCGGGGUGGAGAAUGUGUUUUGAUUACCAGAAACUCACUCGGCUACAAAGAAAAUCACUUCCCACUGCCCUUCAUUGAUGAAAUGCUAGAGCUAUUGGCGAAGCAUUCUUUCUUCUGUUUCCUUGAUGGGUAUUCAGAUAAUCUUCAAAUUCCCAUCCACCCCGAUGAUCAGAGCAAGAUGAUGUUCAUAUGCCCGUACGGAACAUAUGCUUAUCGUAGAAUAUCAUUCGGGCUCUGCAACACUUCUGCAUCUUUUCAACAGUGCAUGAUGUCUAUUUUCUCUGAAAUGAUCGAGGAAAUCAUAGAAGUUUUCAUGGAUGACUUUUCCAUCUAUGGGAAAACCUUUGAUCAUUGUCUCGAGAAUUUAGACAAAGUCUUGCAAAGGUGCCAAGGAAAGGAUCUAGUGCUAAACUGGGAAAAGUGCCACUUUAUGGUCCUUGAAGGCAUCGUUCUCAGGCACCAUGUGUCCGAGAGGGGGAUUGAGGUGGAUAGAGCCAAAAUCAAGGUCAUAGAAUAGCGCCCGCCUCCUGUGAAUGUGAAGGGCAUCCGUAGCUUUCUAAGCCAUGCAGGGUUCUAUCGCCGCUUCAUUAAGGACUUUUCGCAGAUCAGUAGGCUCCUCACAAACCUUUUAGCUAAGGAUGAACUCUUUGAGUUAUCGAUGAGUGUUUAAAAGCUUUUCAUAUCUUAAAAGAAGCCCUCAUUUCAGCUCCAAUCAUUCAACCUCCUGAUUGAAGUCUGCCAUUUGACAUAAUAUGUGACAUGAACCCACUAGAGUUUGUUCCUAAUAUUUCGAUGAGAUGCGUGGGAUAACUCGAUUGAUGAAGGAGACGAUGUUCAUGGUCCGACUAUAGCCUUCCAAGGAUACUGCGCUUUACCAACCGAUAGACAACCUCCUAUGGCUGUUGCAAUCUUGUGGAGUGAGACACCCCGGCCACUAGGGCACUCGUCCUGCAAGCAAUCGAAGAACUAGCAAGAACAAGUAGAACAAGUACUGAAUUACCAGAUAUAAAUAAACGUUUCAACUCAAUCUCCAAUAAAGUGGGGUUCCGAAGACAGGAAGACGAGCGGCUGAUCCAGCACGCGCACUUACCAGCAAGUAGCGAGAGCUAAACUUGAUCUAAACAAAACCAAAUCUGUUUAUGGCGGCUAUGGAGGUAUAUGAGAGGGUAGAGGACGACCAGGAUAUGGUGGAGGUCAUACCUAGACCCUAGGACGCGCCCCUAUUGGGCCCCACUUGAUACACAGCCCAUCGGGCCAAAAUCAGGUGACACAGCACCAUGUACAGAAAAGGUCUCUAUAGUAAAUCAACGAUUGCGGCUGCCUCGGAGAAGAUGUGGACAUGAGUCCCAAUCCAUAUGAAUGUAGACUUUAUAAGCUUUAUGUAAAGUCCAAGAACGCCCCAAUCGGAGUCCGUAUGAAGUCGUGGCAGCCGUUACAUCUUGGUUCUAUCCUGCAAUCUGAAUCCAACAUCCAAAACGUGUUGGAUUUGGACUCUUUCUUUCCUUGCACCAAAAGUGACGUGGUGUCCUGGUGGAUAACAUUGGGAAGACUUGGACUUGGUACCAAAUCAAUUUCUUUGGUCCUCCAUAUUUUCCAUGUAAUUUCCACACACGGCUUUAUCCAGUCGAGUAAUUCUGAAAACGAGAAUGCACAGAAAUCAUAGUGCAGUAUUAAUUGUUCAAAUGUAUCAAAUUUAAUCUUGAUAUAGAGUUGAUUCAUCUUUGGGAAAGAAGGCACUAAUAUGGUUGUAUCCAUUAUAGUGAUGUCCUCAUCAUUCUCCCAUUCUUGAUUGCAAACGCUAAACUUUCAAUAAAACAAAACCCAAUUUGUUUGUUGCGGCUAUGGAGGUAUCUGAGAGGGUAGAGGAUGGCCAGGACGUGGUGGAGGUCAUCCCUAGACCCUAGGAUGUGGCCCUAUUGGGCUCCACUUGAUACACAGCCUAUCGGGCCAAAAUCAGGUGAUACAGCACCGUGGAUAGAAAAGGUCUUAUACUAAAUCAACGAUUGCGGCCUCCUCGGAGAAGAUAUGGAUAUGAGUCCAGAUCCAUAUGAUAGUAGACUUUGUAAGCUUUCCGUGGAGUCCAAGAAUGCCCCAAUCGGAGUCUGUAUGAAGUCGUGGUAGCCAUUACAGUUUGGUUCUAUCCUGCAGUCCGGAUCCAACAUCCAAAAUAUGUUGGAUUUGGACUCUUUCUUUUCUUGCACCAAAAGUGACGUGGUGGCCUGGUGGAGAACAUUGAAAGACUUGGGCUUGGUCCCAAAUUAAUUUCUUUGGUCCUCCAUAUUUUCCAUGUAAUUUCCACAUAUGACUUUAUUCAGUCGAGUAAUUCUGAAAACGAGAAUGCACAGAAAUCAUAGUGCAGCAUUAAUUGUUCAAAUGUAUUGAAUUUAAUCUUGAUAUAGAGUUAAUUCACCUUUGGGCAAGAAGGCACUAAUAUGGUCGUAUCCAUGUUAGUGAUGUCCUCAUCAAUAUGCGAUGCUAGUGAUUAUGCUGUUGGGGCGGUCCUUGGCCAAACCAAAAAUAAAAAGCAUCAUGCACUUUCCUAUGCUAGCAAAACUUUAACAUGAGCUCAAUUAAAUUAUGCAACCACUGAAAAGGAGCUCCUAGCUGUUAUUUUUGCUAUCAAUAAGUUCAGAUCUUACUUGGUUGGAGCAAAAGUUAUCAUUUACACAGAUCGUGCUACUUUUGAAAUAUUUGCGCACCAAGAAAGAUGCUAAACCUCAUUUAAUAAGAUGGAUUCUCUUGCUCCAAUAAUUUGAUCUUCAAAUAAAAGAUAAGAAACGAGUAGAGAAUACUGUUGCCGAUCAUUUGUCGUGUAUGCAAGUUACUAACAUGCACGAACCUCCGACCAAUGAUUUCCUACGCGAUGACAUGCUACUAAAGGUGAUGGACUCAAACCCAUGGUACGCAAACAAUGUAAACUUCAUGGUUUCAAGAUACGUACCACCUGGGGAAAACAAGAAGAAACUCAUCUUCGAUAGCAAACGUCACCUCUGGGAUGACCCAUACCUAUAAGUGUAUGCAUAGAUGGUUUAUUAAGAAGAUGCGUACCAGCAACCGAAGGGAUGAAGAUUAUAAAAAAAUGUAACAUUGCAGCAUACGGAGGCCACUUUGGAGCAUUACGAACUCAAGCAAAGAUUUUACAAAGUGGUUUCUUCUGGCCAACAAUAUAUGAAGACACUAGAGAAUUCAUUCGAAGGUGUCGAAGGUGCUAGAUGCAUGGUGGCAUCACAACUCGCAAUGCAAUGCCCCUCACAUACAACCUCCAAGUUGAACUAUUCGAUGUGUGGGGCAUUGACUUCAUGGGACCAUUCCAGAAGUCUCAAGAUUGCGAGUACAUCAUGGUUGCUGUUGACUACAUGUCCAAGUGGGUGUAGGCGCUACCAUGUAGAGCAGCUGCUAACGCCAAGCAAGCCCGCAAGAUGUUCCACAAGAUCAUCUUCCCUCGUUUUGGGACACCACAGAUGGUCAUAAGUGACGGAGGGUCUCAUUUCAUCGUAAGACCUUCUGACACUUCUUGAGGGAGCUUGGUAUGUAGCAUAGCAUAGCAACUCCAUACCACCCACAAACCAGUGGUCAGGCAGAAACAUCAAACAAGAAAUCAAGAACAUUCUGCAAAAGACGGUCGAUGAGUUGGGAAAUGUGACAUUCAGGUACUUAGGAGAUAGGCAUGCUAAAUUCUAGUAUAUGUUAUGCUUGUUAGAAUGAAGUGUGUGUUGCUUUGAUAAAUGCUUUUAAAACCUAAAUACAAGUUAAAGGGUAUUUUUGUAAUUAUGGAAAAAUUAGGGUUCUUUUGCUAAAUAUGUUUGAAGGUAGGGUAAUUUCAAAUUGUAUGAAGGUUAGUUUUGUAAAGGCAAAGAAUUUACUUUUAAAUCACUGUAAGAAGUAGAAUCACCAUAAGGUUUCAAUUGGAAUAUGAAUUUUAAAUAGGUUUUAUGUAAAAUUUGAUAGUUUGUCGGAUUUCGAAUUAGUUUCAAAAUCCUAACUCUUUUGAAGCUGACCCCUAAAGAAAAGUUGUAGAUCUUUUUAAACUCUACACUUUUGCUUUUGGGCAUAAUUUCAUUUGGGCUAUAGUUUGAAAGAAAAUUUUACUUUACAGUGCACUCCUUGUUCUUUUGGAAAAAUACGGAGGGGUCCUUGUCGUCUUCCUCUCUCCCCUCCCUCUCUAUUUCUCUGCUGCUCUGCUCCACCGACCGCCGCCCCUCGUCGGCGAGCUCCCACGCUACAAGCUGCCCCUCGCCGCUCUAACCUGAUGAGGACAUCACUCCUUUGGAUAUACAAGAGGUUCCUUCGCUGGACAUUCAAACCAUUCAAGCUCCAAUCACAAGAGCUCGCCCGCGACAAUUAAAUUUAGAGGUGAGCUCGCUCCUAAGCGUUUCUAUUAAUAAUUGUGAGAAUGGUUUGCUACCUAAUUUUUACAAUGUGAUUAGGAACCAAGGAGAGGUCCAGGGAACACAUGGAGAGGAGCAUGGAGGUGUGGAGGAACAGCAAGGGCCGCCAAGCCACAUGGAGACCCAAUCCAAUUUAACUUCGAGUCCACCUCGGAGUCCAGGAGCAGCCUCAUGUAAAUUGGACGCCCAGGCCACAUCCGGAGUCCGAAUUCAACGAUCCACAUAUGGACGGAAAGAUAAUUUCAUGGAGCUUCUAUUGGCAUUGGUUUCAGGUCCAAACUCCUUCUGAGUCGUCGGAAAUUGUCCGAGAAAGUUGGCAUCCAGAUUCUGUCCCGGUGCUGCGACAUCGUAUUUUGGCCUUUGGGCCGCGUAUCUUUGUUGAGCCCAUUAGGGGCGCGUCCAGGGGGAAGCCACGCCCCUAUUUCCUAUAUCUCAGCAGCCGCCGCCCUCAUUAGGGUUGGGUUUUGCUUUAGAUCAAUCUGUCUUGAACAGUCGCUGUCUUUCGGUUUGUAGAACCCCAACUUUCGAGCUCAAUCGUCCAUCUGCAGUUGUCACUUUAAUUUGAGUGCUGUGUUUCUUUCGAGUUCUUGCUUGUGUUCUUUGUUUCGCAUGCAGGGAUUAGCCUUCUCGGCGAGGUCAACCGGAUUGUGACUACGGUUGAUAACCAGAGGAGUUGUGGUGCUAAGAUUGCGGGGUUCGAGUUGCUGACUUGAAUGCCGAAUCGGUGUGUCACAUUCCGACCAAAACGAGUUUUCCUUCACAUGACGGAAGAUCGGGCACCCCCGUUCAUAUCAAGUGGUAAUCAGAGACUCAGGUAUUACCGUCAGGCUUACCCUAGUUUAGUUUGUUCCAUCAUCCUAUAUUCCGCUGUCCUCGAACCCUUGUUUAGCCUUUGCAAUUUCGUUUUCAGACCCGCUUUGUUCAAUUUGUGUCCGUGGUCGAGUCGUGUUGCUGGUUUAGGGUUUGUCUUCAUCAUAGUUCAACCGCACCAUCGCUGUGUUUUUGUUUCCGCCGCUAUCCCAUCCACCAUUACCCAGAUCCCAAGUCGAUACAUCCCAUUACUCGACUUGCCCUUGCUAGCCGCCUUGUGUGAACUCUCGCCGCGCCAGCCCUAGAUAGGUUGCGAGCCACCUUGUGCCUUCCGCCUUGCACCGCAGCCCCCCUUGGAUUCAUCUAGCAAUUACCCAUUGCGCAUACCAGGGAGAAUUUGUGCCCUAGCCGCUGCUGAUCUAUCUGCCGGGUUGUGCCUUCGCAAAAAACAUAACUUGAGAUACCUUCCAUAAAACAGGCAUAACUUUUCGCUCGGUUCUCCGUUUUGGCUGAAAUUUUUACAGGAGCUUGGCAACGAAAAGUUGCACAUACAAUUCAUCCGGCUUUGCCGGUGAGGCCGAUCUCAAAAAAUUCAAAAAAAAUCAGGAAGAUAAUUAAAAAAUUCAGUUUCUAUCCAGCACGCUUUUCGGCAUACCUGUUUGAUUUUCUGUAGACCACAUCUGAUCUCUAUUUCAGGUGAAACUUGGUGUGGUUCCUAUUCUGGUGUUGCUUGUGCUGUGAAAAAUAUCAAAAAAAUCAUUAAAAAAAAAUCGAAAUCAACUAGGCUUUGCACUAGUGCCUUUUUGGCAUUGCUAGUACAAUAUUUACGGUACUGCCAUUCUGAUUGUUCUGUGAGAUUCUUCCAUUAUCCUUUGUUCCAACUUGUUGUGCUAUGCCUAGGAUACAUCUUAGCCAGCAAUUGUGACUUGUACUUUGGAUAUUUAUUGAACUUUGCUCAUCUGCACUCGAUUUUGUUCCACAUACACAUACAUAUUGUGCCUGUCCUACAGCUCCAUAUACAUACACUUCAUCUCAGUGCAGCGAAGGACCCUUGCAAUCUUGGUACCCUCUUCUCACAGGUUUUUCACCGUCCACCGGUUGUACCAUCCCACUGUUUGUAUUGGUAAGACGCGUGUGAGGGUGUGAUUCCACCAACAAACCCAGGGUCUUUUUGUUUCACUAACCAUGCCGGACGAUAGGCCUGUUUUGUCUAGUGAAUUGCAGGCCAUGAAGGACGAACUCAUGGAGUUUUUUGCUAAGGAGAUAAAUAAGGUGGCGCAAGACGUCCAAGGGGCCAAUCAUACGAUUGAGGGUGUGAACAAACGCCUCUCUACACUGACUGACAGGGUUCAACGUCUUGAAGUCAACCCUUCCAAGAGCAAAGACAACGAUGAUGACUGGCUAGAGGACGAUGAUGACAUCAUUUUUGGGUCUGAUGCGAGCCUGAUAUGGCUAAGACUCGUGCGGAGAAGGUCCGUCGUCAACGUCUUCGCAAGAAUAAAACAGGUAUGGGAGGAACCAAACAUCGGCGCACUACAGGUAAUGAUGAUCCUUAUGCCAAAGUCAAAUUUACCAUACCUUCUUUCCAUGGUCGUUAUGAUGCAGAGGAAUACUUAGAUUGGGAGAUGACUGUUGAACAAAAAUUUGCUUCCCAUCUUGUUCCUGACCAACAUAGUGUUAGACAAGCCACUAGUGAAUUUAAAGAUUUUGCUAUAAUCUGGUGGCAAGAAUGUGCUCAAUUAAAUAUACAACCUGAUUCAUGGGACGCGUUUAAGAUAGCAAUGCGUGAUUGUUUUGUUCCUGCAUCUUAUAAACGUGAUAUGCGUAAGAAAUUACAACGUUUAGAUCAGGGUGAUAUGUCUGUUCAGGAGUAUUACGCAGAGCUUCAAAAGGGCAUGGUUCGAUGUGGUGUAGUUGAGGAUGCUGAGGAUAAAGUGUGCCGUUUUUAUGGUGGUUUGAAACGUGAAAUUAAGGACAUUGUUGACUAUAAAUCUUUUACUACCACCAACCAGUUGUUCCAGCUUGCUAUGCUUGCAGAAAAAGAAUUGCAGGGACGACAACAGCAGCAGCAACCACCUCAGAGCAGGAGCACCUCCACCAGAUCCUACAUGCCUAAGUCUUUUACUCCCAAAGGUGCUUCCACGGCGGUGUCACCAGCUCCAGCAACCACGCCCGCCGAUGGUAAGUCUCGUGUGCAGGAACUGACCAAGAGUGCCUCACUAGCAGCACGCUCUUCCUCUGGCAUUCAGUGCCAUCGUUGUUAGGGCUUUGGCCAUGUGAUUCGAGAAUGCCCAAGCAAGCGGACAUACAUUGCCACUGCUGAUGGUGGCUACGUCAGUACUUCAGAUGCUGAGGACGACACUGAGGAUGACCCACCUUCUAAUGAGGGUCUUUCAUUGAGUGCGGGUGAUGCGGGCUCUCAGCUGAUUUGUAUUGUCCACCGUGUCCUCAGUACACAAUUGGGACAAGCAAACAAGAUGCAACGCCAUAAUUUGUUCCAGAUUUUAUUUGUGAUCCACGAUCGACGUGCACGUGUCAUCAUUGAUGGAGGCAGCUGCAACAACCUGGUUAGUGCUGAUUUGGUCCAGAAGUUGGGUUUAGCCACACGUCCUCAUAAACGUCCUUACCAUGUUCAGUGGCUAAACGACUCGGGUAAGGUUAAGGUAAAUCAAACUGCACGGGUGCAUUUUUCUCUUGGUCCAUAUUCUGAUUAUGCGGAUUGUGAUGUGGUACCCAUGGACGCAUGUUCGCUUUUGUUGGGUCGUCCAUGGGAAUUUGAUAAUGAUGCUGUCCACCAUGGUAGAAGUAACACAUACACACUUAUGUAUAAGGGCCAGAACAUCACUUUGCACCCAAUGACCCCUGCUGAAAUUGUACAAGCUGAUAAAGAACAACUUGCUUCACCUGAUGUUGCUGCCACAGUUGCAACCCAAGCCGCUAUUAAAUUGAAAAAUCAUAAUAUGCUUGUAACCAAAUCUGAUCUAUAUGAUAUGGAUGUUUCUACUGUGUGCUAUGCUUUGAUAUGUAAGGAUGCGUUAUUUUCUAUUCGUGAUAUAGCUAGCACGUUGCCUCCUGCGAUCGCUGACAUUUUGCAGGUGUAUGAGGAUGUGUUUCCAAAUGAGCUCCCACCGGGGUUGCCACCUUUGAGAGGUAUUGAGCACCAAAUUGAUUUGAUUCCGGGAGCAUCUUUGCCCAACCGAGCAGCAUACAGGACCAAUCCCGAGGAGACUAAAGAGAUUCAGCGACAAGUCCAAGAACUUUUGGACCGCGGGUAUGUGCGUGAGAGCCUUAGUCCUUGUUCUGUACCUGUGCUUUUGGUUCCUAAGAAAGAUGGUACAUGGCGCAUGUGUGUAGAUUGUAGAGCCAUUAACAACAUUACUAUUCGCUACCGUCAUCCUAUACCUCGGUUAGAUGAUAUGCUUGAUGAGUUAAGUGGCGCCAUAACUUUUACAAAGAUUGAUUUGAAUAGUGGAUACCACCAGAUUCGCAUGAAGUUGGGUGAUGAAUGGAAAACUGCUUUUAAGACAAAAUUUGGUUUAUAUGAGUGGUUAGUGAUGCCUUUUGGUUUAACUAAUGCACCUAGCACUUUCAUGCGUUUGAUGAAUGAGGUUUUACGUGCUUUCAUUGGUAAAUUUGUGGUGGUUUAUUUUGAUGAUAUCUUGAUAUAUAGCAAGUCACAUGAGAAACAUUUGGAUCAUCUACGUGCUGUUUUUGACGCCUUGAGAGCGGCGAGCUUGUAUGCUAACCUUGAGAAGUGCAUUUUUUGCACUGAUCGAGUUGCUUUUCUUGGCUAUGUUGUGACUCCUCAGGGCAUUGAAGUGGAUGGUGCAAAGAUUGAUGCCAUUAGGAGCUGGCCUACUCCUCAGACUAUUACACAGGUGCGAAGUUUUCUUGGUCUUGCAGGGUUCUAUCGGCGUUUUCUGAGAGAUUUCAGCACCAUUGCCGCCCCACUACAUGAGUUGACGAAGAAAGGUGUUUCUUUCCAUUGGGGCCCAGCACAAGAUCAAGCUUUUGAUACUUUGAAAGCGCGGCUUACUUCGGCGCCCUUGCUGCAACUUCCUGACUUUGGUAAGACUUUUGAGCUUGAAUGUGAUGCCAGUGGCGUUGGCAUUGGUGGCUUGUUGAUGCAAGGAGGUAAACCUGUUGCUUAUUUUAGCGAGAAAUUGAAUGGGCCUACUCUGAAUUAUUUCACAUAUGAUAAAGAAUUUUAUGCUCUUGUUCGUUCUCUAGAGACGUGGCAACAUUAUUUAUGGCCUAAGGAAUUCAUUAUUCAUUCUGAUCAUGAAUCACUUAAGUACCUUCGCAUGCAAAAUAAACUGAACCGUAGACAUGCCAAGUGGGUUGAAUUUAUUGAAUCUUUUCCAUACAUCAUUAAACACAAGAAAGGGAAAGAUAAUGUAAUGUUAUUGCUGAUGCCUUGUCUCGUCGUUACACCAUGUUGUCUCAACUUGAUUGUCGCAUUUUUGGACUUGAGUCGAUUAAGGGACAGUAUGAACUUGAUGCUGCUUUUAAAGAUGUGAUCCUAAAUUGUAAAGAGGGUCGUGCUUGGAAUAAAUAUGUGCUGAAUGAUGGGUAUUUAUUUAGAGCUAACCGCCUAUGCAUUCCAGUUGGAUCCGUUCGUCUUCUCUUGUUGCAGGAAGCACAUGGUGGAGGUUUGAUGGGUCACUUUGGGGCCACAAAGACGUUGGAUGUGUUGUCCAAUCAUUUCUUUUGGCCACAGAUGAGGCGAGAUGUUCAGAGGUUCGUGAGUCGCUACACUACAUGUCAAAAGGCUAAGUCACACUUGAAUCCACAUGGUUUGUAUAUGCCUCUUCCUGUUCCUUCUAUUUCUUGGGCGGAUAUUUCUAUGGAUUUUGUGUUAGGAUUGCCUAGGACUAAGAGGGGGAGAGAUAGCGUUUUUGUUGUGGUGGAUCGAUUUUCUAAAAUGGCAUAUUUUAUACCAUGUCAUAAAAGUGAUGAUGCUAUUCAUAUUGCUGACCUCUUUUUCCAAGAGAUUGUACGCUUGCAUGGUAUGCCUUCUACUAUUGUUUCAGAUCGUGAUGCGAAGUUUUUGAGUCACUUCUGGCGUACUUUGUGGAACAAGUUGGGUACAAAAUUGUUAUUUUCUACCACUUGUCAUCCGCAAACUGAUAGCCAAAUGGAGGUGGUGAACCGUACCUUGGGGACCAUGUUGAGGGCUGUUUUAAAGAAGAAUUUGAAGAUGUGGGAAGAAUGUUUGCCUCAUGUGGAGUUUCCAUACAAUCGAGCAACACAUUCUACCACCAAGGUAAGUCCUUUUCAGGUAGUGUAUGGUUUUAACCCCUGCGCUCCUAUUGAUAUUUUACCUUUGCCUACUAGUGAGCGAAUUCAUAGUGAGGCUAAAGACCGUGCUGAAUUUAUAUUGAAAAUACAUGAAACAACUAAGCAAAAUAUUGAAAAGAUGACUGAAAAAUAUAGAGUUGCUGGUAGCAAAGGUAAGAAAGAAUUAAAGCUUCAACCGGGUGAUCUUGUGUGGUUGCACUUGAGAAAAGAAUGUUUUCCAGAUUUGAGGAAGUCUAAGUUAAUGCCAAGAGCUGAUGGUCCAUUCAAGAUACUUGAGAAAAUUAAUGAUAAUGCAUACAAACUUGAGUUGCCUCCCGAGUUCGGGGUUAGUCCCACCUUUAAUAUUUCAGAUUUGAAACCUUAUUUGGGAGAAGCGGAUGUGCUUGAGUCGAGGAUGACUCCGAUUCAAGAGGGGGAGGAUGAUGAGGACAUCACUCCUUUGGAUAUACAAGAGGUUCCUUCGCUGGACAUUCAAACCAUUCAAGCUCCAAUCACAAGAGCUCGCGCGCGACAAUUAAAUUUAGAGGUGAGCUCGCUCCUAAGCGUUUCUAUUAAUAAUUGUGAGAAUGGUUUGCUACCUAAUUUUUACAAUGUGAUUAGGAACCAAGGAGAGGUCCAGGGAACACGUGGAGAGGAGCAUGGAGGUGUGGAGGAACAGUAAGGGCCGCCAAGCCACAUGGAGACCCAAUCCAAUUUAACUUCGAGUCCACCUCGGAGUCCAGGAGCAGCCUGAUGUAAAUUGGACGCCCAGGCCACAUCCAGAGUCCGAAUUUGAUGAUCCACAUAUGGACGGAAAGAUAAUUUCAUGGAGCUUCUAUUGGUGUUGGUUUCAGGUCCAAACACCUUCUGAGUCAUCGGAAAUUGUCCAAGGAAGUUGGCGUCCAGAUUCUAUCCCGGUGCUGGGAUAUCGUAUUUUGGCCUUUGGACCGUGUAUCUUUGUUGAGCCCAUUAGGGGCGCGUCCAGGGGGAAGCCACGCCCCUAUUUCCUAUAUCUCAACAGCCACCGCCCUCAUUAGGGUUUGGUUUUGCUUUAGAUCAACCUGUCUUGAACAGUCGCCAUCUUUCGGUUUGUAGAACCCCAACUUUCGAGCUCAAUCGUCCAUCUGCAGUUGUCACUUUAAUUUGAGUUCUGCGUUUCUUUCGAGUUCUUGCUUGUGUUCUUCGUUUCACAGGCAGGGAUUAGCCUUCUCAGUGAGGUCAAUCGGAUUGUGACUACGGUUGAUAACCAGAGGAGUUGUGGUGCUAAGAUUGCGGGGUUCGAGUUGCUGACUUGAAGCCGAAUCGGUGUGUCGCAUUCUGACCAAAACGAGUUUUCCUUCACCUGACGGAAGAUCGGGCACCCCCGUUCAUAUCAUAACCCCACCACCUGGCCCUCCAACUCACCGCUCGCCACUCGCCCGACCUCUGCUGGCUUUCCCCGCACCGCCACGUCGUGUCGCCGUCGCCCGAAGCCACCACGCCGCGCUGCCGGCCGCCAGCAGCUGCUCCAGCUCACCCGUGCCCCUUCUUGUUCCCGCAGCACGUCCAGGAGCCUUCCUUGACUUCAUUUACACUCUCACGCGCCCGCAUUUUCGCCCCUCGGCUUCUUCUCCACUCAGCACCGCUGCCAGACCACCGCCGCCGGCUCUGCUCACCGUCGUCAGCCAUCUCCGCCGCCCCACACCCACAAUCCCGUGCUCCACCGGCACCACUACAUCCCACUAAAGCUCCCUGACCAGUUCUUCUCCAUCCACUCACGCUCACACCACCAGAACAUCACGCCGGCCAUCCUGUCCACCACCGCCGCUCGGCCUCGCCGUCGUCCCGACACUACGCCCCCUCUCGGCCCUCACCGAGCUCACUACCAGCACCACAUCUACGCGUGGAAGCUUUCUAGCCACUUCUUCGCCGCCUUCCUACACUCCGGCCGCAGGAAGACUGCCGCCACCUCGGGACCUCGCCGCGCCGGCUCGGUCCUCCGUCGAACCGCCAUCUCCGCACCUUCCUUCUUCGAUUCCGGCCACCCCCAAGCCCGCCGUGCGCUCCUGAACCUUUUCCCCCACAUCCCCCUCACCGCCGGUGAUCCUCCUCGCCGGAAUUUGAUCACCACCGUUGCUGUCCCUCAGUUCAAACAGGUCAGGGACCCAAUUGCAGACCUUCUUUCUUUCCAAGGUCCUCUCUGCAAAAUAUCAGUACCCCCUGAAUUCAAAUCAGCCAGCUUUGAAAAUCUGUAGAAAUUUGUGGAAAAAUCCAAAAAUUGUCAAACUAGUUCUUUUAUACUCUAAAAGUCCAGUUCUACAACAUUUGUUACUAAAGUUUAGUUUAAAACUUAAUGCUUUAAGUGUUAUUUUAAAGUUUAACAAAAGGGAAUCUUGUAUGUAUCUCUUGCAUUCUAGCUUUAUUUCAUGUGAUUUUUGGUAUGCAACUUGUAUCUGAUAUGAGUGAAUUUGUGUGUAAAUUUCACCAUCAGUACUGAACUCUAACUUGAGCUCACUUAAAUUUGUGCAAAGUAAGCUUGAAAUAAAGUAAAUUUAUUCAGGCAUGUUACUGAUACUUUCAUGCUUAGAUCUUUUUACUAUGUGUUGCUCUAAUGUUGAGUGAUUCAUAGUAAAUUUUGAAUAAUUUUAUAGCACUAUUUAGCCUAAGGUUUUGAUUUAAACUUGAAGUUUGAAUUUAAUUUAAGUACCAUAGUUUCUGCUUUCAAAAAUUUAUGAAAAAUUUAUGGCAAGCUUAUCUGUUAGAGGUAAACACAUUUAUCAAAAUUCAAGGCUAGAACCUCUGUAGAUUUCAAAAUAAAAAUAAAACUUGUUAUCUUAAGUUUGAAUUUGUCCAUUUUUAUACUACUAUUAUGUUAGGUUUAAAAAUAUGAAAAAUUAACAGCAGUCUUGUAUUAACUUUAGUAUGUGUUGUUAAAUUCCUAACCUCAGUACUCCUAUGCUUGAAGCUAUAGAAAUUAACUAUGAUACUAGUAGAGUUAAUUGGUUUAAUGUACCAUAAGUAAGUUGAAAUUCUUGGAAUUCAAAUCCUUGCUUUGUGAUGCUUUGAAUGUGAAUUGUUGGAUUGGAACUUUAUCGUGAAGGAAAGUUAUUAACUUAAUAAUCAUUUAAUUCAAAUCAUUGCAUAUCAUGUAGAAUCGACAACUCUUGAAGACGGAACCUACGAGUUGGUCUCAGAACCCGAGCAGGGUAUAUCUGAAGACCAAGUGCACGUCGCCGAAGAUCUUACUGAAGCCCUGAAUCAAGGUUUGGAAGAUAUUGACAUUCCUGACCCCAGCUCCACCCAAGAAAGCAAGCCCCGGUGCAUAACCCAGUAUUUUAAAUUAUGCACUUAUAUUGCUAUAUAUCUAGCUUGUGCAUUAAGUGUUAGGAGUUGUUAUGAAACCUUAGUUGCAUGAACCUAGGAACCUAUGUAAUGUUUUUGAGUUCUUAUCGAGUAGAUGCUUUGCUAAUAGGACCGGCAGAAGUCGAGUGAUUUCCUAUCACUCGCGCGAUAUAGGAGUUGAUUGUUUACUAUUUUGCAAUUACUAUAAGGAUCACGGACGGGAUUAUGUGCAGUACCAUGAUUUGGAAUAGUACCCGUCUGUGUUGGUUAAAGUUGGAUAAGGCCACGGUGUGUGGUAGUGGUGGUCAAGUGUUUAAAAGUACUAGCCACAUACCGUAAAUAUGGUACGUGGUAAGCCUAAUACCUGAUUGGCCCGGCUAGUGGACUUACCCCACCACUCAAAUUUUGGUCUUGUUGCACACACGCACCGACGUGUGGGAAUACAUUCUGCAUAGCAGACAGGAGUACGGUCAUACUGUCACGCUGUAGACGUACGUCCUGCAUAUUGGAUGUGCGUAUGGUCCUGCAGUCGCUUGUGGUGGCCCUGAUCCACGUCCCGGAAUAAGAUGGGAACGGUUGCCCGGAAAGAAAAGUUUCCAAGCGUGUGAGUUAGGAUCCCUUGCAAGGUUAUGAAAUUCGAUUCAGAAUCAUCCGUUUCUCGCGGAGAUUGAGACUACUUGAUACUUCUACCACAUAGAGUAAUAACAGUAACAGUUAAUGGAAUAAUUCUGAUGGAUGCUUAAUAUCUACCUUGCUUUGACUAGUAUAGGUGCUUAUCUAGAAUGGUUAAAUAAACUAGAAUCUGAAAGCUAAUAUAUGAAAGUAAGGACAUACUCUUUGUUGCUUUUCUACAAAGGAAAACUAGAGCCGUUACAACUUAUCAUGGUCUAGUUAUGGGCUAAGUAUACCCAAUGUCGGGUAAGCCUUGCUGAGUAUUAGUAUACUCAGCCUUGCUAGUAAUGUGGUUUUCAGGUAUGCCAUUCGAGGACUCUGUGGCUAGUUCUCCUUGGCCCUGUUCUGUUCUACUUGGCUGGUCCGUGGAAUGGCAUCCGUCCUCGGCCAGCAAUGACCCUUCGAUGUAACGCCAUGCUUGGGGCUAAGUAUGGUGCCUACCACUGCGACGUAUGUAGUCACGUUGUUUUUUUCCACUGCUAACUCUAAAUACUGUCUGUUAAACUUGAAGUUUCGAGUAAUACUUGUACAAAUUUGUAUUAGCUAGGAUGAAACAAAACCUCUGUGUAAUAAUGUUUAAUUAUCCUAUAAUGUAAAAGUUGCGAUCUGUUGUAAGGCUGGACUCGCCUUCGUGCGAGGUAAACCUACGUCGAUCCUGUGUAACCGUGGUUGAAUCGGACGAUGACCCGACAGACCAAUGAGUUGUUCCGUUUGAAGUGCAUUAAGAUCCUAACGCCUGUAUAGUGAUGGUCUGUGCACUUGAACCGGAAUAAUUCAGGCAGUUCUGCCACAGGAAAGUGAUGGAAAAGUAAGCUACCUAAUGCACCCUGGGCAUACAGGAUAGCAUACAAAACUCCCAUCGGCAUGUCACCGUAUCAGCUCGUUUAUGGCAAAACAUGUCAUCUGCCAGUCGAGCUAGAACACAGGGCCUACUGGGCCAUCCGAAAGUGGAAUAUGGACAUCAAGCUGGCCGGAAGGAAUAGAAAAAUCCAGCUUGCAGAACUAGACGAAUGGAGAGAGAAGGCUUACCACAGUGCCAAGAUCUACAAAGAAAGAACCAAAAGAUGGCACGACAAGAGGGUCAAGCCCAAGUAAUUCAAGGCUGGAGACAAGGUACUAAUGUUCAAUUCUAGGGUUAAGCUCUUUGGAGAAGGAAAACUUUUCAGCAAAUGGAAAGGACCAUACAAUGUCAUCAGUGCGUGUUCACAUGGAGCAAUCACACUCCAAGAUGGUGAAGUUAAGAUCUUCAAGGUAAAUGGUCAACGUUUAAAAGUUUUCUACACACCCCUUAAUUCAAACAAAGAGGUAGAUGUUAUUAAUUUGAUAGAUUUCAAUGCUUCACAUCCUCUCUUCGACAAAAGGAGAUCAAGCCCGCAACUUUCAUCUAGACACCAGACUACUUAGCCUUCCCGUCUUUUUUGCUUACGGCACAUAAUUUCCCUUCCAAAUUUUGUUUCCCUUCAUUUGGAUUGUGCCCCCUUAUUUUAAUUCAAUAAUUAUUUGCACUCCCCGGCGUCCAAAUCGGCAGAGUUUUUUUCCUCUACUUUGUCUUGGUUUCAAAUAAAUCAGGUAUAGAAACAAAGUGUGGGGGAAACAUCACCGAAAAAAAGCAGCACGGACCAACACUGCGCAACACGCCUAGACUAGGGACCAGACGGCCCACAAAGGGGUCGGUCAAACCCCUGGUUCAACCGAACCCCUAAGGAGCCUAUCCAGCCACUGCUUCAUCAACCACAAUGGUUUGUGCUUUACUCCCUCACAUCUCCCUAUUCUAAAAGAAAAUUAACUAUCAAAAUUUAAAAAUAAAAAUAGAAGGCCUUAUACAAUCCAUGCAUUUCCAUGAACAAACUUGCAUACUCUAUGUUCCUCGCAUUCUCUCUAGUUGGUGUGAACAAAUACUUUUAUAGGGAACGCAUGCUACCUAAGUAAUUUACUAAUGCGAUAUAAUUGGAUGAAUGGAACCAUGCUCUUUCCUGCAAAGUACUUGGGACUUCUUUUCAAAAUUAAAAAAAAUAUACAAUAGCUUGCCUCCUCAAAAUAAUAAAAACUCCUACCAGAGCCAAAGUUCGAGCAUCAUGCAAAACCUUUUGAUUAUGCGGUUUGUCUUGCUUUGAGCUUUGUCAAAUUCGUUGAUCCAUGUUAGAAACUUUUCAUGUUCUCAUGAUCAAGAUCACGUACACUCCACAUAUAUAUGCCGAUUUCCACACUCAAAAAACAUGCCGUUCAUCAAAUCCUCUAUCAAAUAAAACUCCAAUAAAGAUGACUCUCUCCAACUAUCUUAGCAAAAAGAUGUGGGUUAUGCAAAAGAAGAAAAAAAAGAUAAGAAAUAAAAGCAUGCUCAAAAGCAUGGUUUGGAUAUCUACAAGUCCAAGAAAAAAAGAAAAAAAGAAAGAAAGAAAGCCCACAUCCCAAAUUUCAAAAGAGGGAGAGUCAUACACAAAAGGAGUUCAUACUUGAAAACCACACACACUUGGACAUUUUUUAUGAGAUUGCAUGACUUGUUUCUUCUUGGAUCUUGUCUUUGACUUAGCAACACGAGAAAAGCAAGUAUGUCUCUUUACUCCUACCCUGAGCUCCACAUAAGCUUGAUUAGAUGAUAGGAGAAAAGAAGGAGACAACUUUACCUUGGUGACAACUUAAAAUAAAAAGAGUGAUUCGAGAGAAUAAUUUGAGGAGCAAGACUAUUAUUUUCAAAAUAAAAAAAAUCAAAAACUAAAGUUUCUAAGCAGGAAGAGCUAGGAACCUGAAAUCGGCAUUGUUCCAUUCUUCAAUUAUCCAAGAAAGCAUGGUAACCACUCAAAAGUUCACAAAAACUGGAGGAAGCAUGGAAUAUCUUGUAUGCAGGUUACAUCAAAGGAGUUGCAUCCACCUUAGUCCUCAAACCUUUACUUGAGGAGGAGCAAAGGGCUAAGUGUGGGGGUGUUGUUGAUGAUCCUUAGUUCACCAAUAAAACUGUCAACUUCUACAUCUUUCAAUAUUAAAAUAAUCAACAACUUAGCUAUAGAGUUUUAUUCUAAUUGGUUCCACAAGUUUUGGUGAAUUAUGAUUUGCAGGCACCCACAACUGAAAUACGAGAGAAAACACAAGUGAAUGCAGAAGAAAUGCACAGAAGAUCCCCUCCUGCGUCUCACUUACAAGAAGGGCCCACUUAACGGAUCAAACCAACAUUACAAGGCGGCAAACACCCAAGAGAUAAGAUCAAGGCCCACCUACCAGCCUAUGGAGCAAAGGCGAUGCAGAGGGGGCCACCAAGGGGUCGACCGAACUUGGCCUCGCUCCCGUCCAGAUGCAGCUUGGCAAGAGAUUCAUUCUUAUCGUCCUGAAGUCGGUGCCUAGUGUUUCCUUGUAUACCACGGCCCCAAACCAACUUAUCCAAGCUAUAAAAGGAGAAGAGGAGAUCCCACAACACACAAAACAUUUUGGAGAAGAAGAGAAGAGGGACUCCACCUUACUUUGUAGCAUUAGGAUAGGGAGUGUGUGAGAAGAAGGCUGGAGAAGAGCCGGACAUGUCGGUGUCUCUCUUCUACCUUGUACCUUGGCAAAUAUGAAUCUUUUGAGUAAGUACUUGAGUUUAUCUAAGUGGUAAAGUUAUUGUUUAAGUUAUUCUCUUGUUGUUAUUCAUUUACGGGUUCAUCGUCUGUUCUUGUAGCGGAGACUCUAGUAGAGGGCCCCUUAUAAAGACGGGUAAACCCUGCGCAAUGCUAGAGUAGUCGUCGAUGGCAUAAAUGUGGUCUUUAGACCUUAGAUUACCUUUGUUUGCUACGAGCCCCCACGAUGUUGCAGGGUAGGCGGCAGGUGGUGACAACCCUAUCCGUACUUCGAAAUCCCUCAAGUUUGGGGUCAGAGUAGAGCUAAUGGCCGGAGGUCUCUAACAGAUCAGAGUCAAACCGGUGCCCGAAGUAAACGAGUAAAAGCUUGAGUUUAUUCUUCCUUGAUCCUUUUCCUUAGACAAACCACAAUACCCAAGGCCAUUCUAUCUCUUGUUGUUCAAGUUAAACUAGCUAGAAGCCCGUUACACCUCUAUUCCCUGAAAAAAUACGAUACCCUAAAUAUUCUAUGGGUGAAGUGCUACAAUGGUAUCUCCGUGCGCUUACGGAUUUAUUCAUGAUCGUUAAAAAAUACCAAUAAGCAUUUCUUGCGCCGUUGCUGGGGAGCGGUUGUUGUAGUUUUCUUCGAACCUAGUUUACCCGUAUAUCUUUUAUUUUACCUUUCUCUUUCUUUUAUCCCUUUUCUUACCAUGCAUCAUAUUUUAAUCCAAACACUUUCUACUCCCAAGGGCGAGUUCUUAGAACCACCACAAUCCUCCAAGACAAUCAUAGCUUCUGGCUAUGAAUUCCGUCCUGGCUUCAUUGCCAUGGUUCAGGAACAACCCUUCUCAGGCUUUAGCGAUGAAAACCCUUACCACCACCUACUAGAGUUCGAGCAAUUGUGCGCAUUCCUGACCACACUACAACACAUAUGACCUUCUAUGAUGAAUAUCUCAUGACAAUUGAUCAAAACGUCAUAAUGUCAUUUCCUUUUAUGACAUUUUGUAUGGGCUGGUAUGGUUUAGUGACAAAAAUUAGAAUUUUGUCACCUGGAUCAGUCAGAAAUCAUCAUAAACUGGUCUAAUAUCAUAUUUGUGACGAACGCUCAUCGUAUUUCCGUGAUGAAUAGCAAGCGUCACAUAUGUGAUCAGAAUGAUUAAUGAUUGGUAGAAUCUUAUGUGAUCAGAAUGAUUCAACUUGUAUCAUCCUGCACUUAACUUGCUGAUUUUUGCAACCGCAAUUCAGAACCUUAAGUUAUAGCAUGGACAAAUAAAUGCUUCUUGUUUUAACAAUGCUGCUCCUUUUCUUGUAACAACUUGUUCAGAUUUAGCUUGGCACAGACUUUGUAAUUGCCGAAGGUGUCAAUUUCAUUGCUGUUUCAUUAUGCUUUGUUGGAGAAACCAUAUUUGACAUUAUUAGACUGAUAACUGGUGUUCCUAGAACUGUUCUCGAUCCUUAGCCACUAGCAACUGUGCUGGUCGGUUCCUGUUCAGUCCUAGAUGAUUACUCAUAUUGGUUGGGUUUUAUUUGUACUCUAACCCUCCAAAAAAUUCAGCGUAGAAUGUAAUGGUUUCUAUGUAGUUACUACAGAAAAUACUGAAUCAGCAAGCUAUCCACUUUUCGGUGUACCUCCUUUUAUUCAAAUAAUGCUGUGCAACAAUGUGAUUCAUGGAAGAAUAAUAAGAACUGUUUAAAAUUGUCCUUAGGAGUGUUAGCCUCAGAGUUGAGAAGUGGUAAUGCCACAGUUAAAUUAGUAUUUAAAAAAAAAAGUUGUUUGGUCUUGCAGAUUGGGUUAAUCGCUGGUGUGGUUUUUUUCUUGGAACACAUUAAAUUGUAUAGUUCUCAUGUUUCCAUCCAUGCUCUUUUCAGGUAACCUGACUUUGGAUGAAUGCUCUGCAUAAUGCUAGGUGAGCUUAGCAUAUGUUCUUAUCUCCGAUUUAAAUUAUUACAAGUCCAGCAAUCCUUUUCCAUAUUUUAGUGUUUUUUCUACUGAACAACUAAGUCCAUUGAUUCAUCGCUAAUUCUUAUGUUGCUGCAGUGCAGUAGAAUGUCUGAAAAGAAACUAAGCUUUUAUGCAUCCAAUCUGGAGAUACAAAGCAGACUAACCCAGAGGCGACACUUCAAACAGACCAGAAUGCAGACCAUCCUCUUUGCUUGCUUGCUUGCCUGGUGCAACUUUUGCAUGUACACAUGUAUGUAUGAAUGCAGGAUAAAUUAUAUUGCUUGACUGCUUGCCUGGUGCAACUUUUGCAUGUACGUAUGUAUGUGUAUGAAUAUGUGCAUGGACAGAGGAUGAACUGUGAACACGUGACCUAUUUGUUCUCUCCUUUUUUUUAUUUUCAACAUCAGUGACGUGGUUUCCCCGGAACACGUCACUAAUGACUAUAAUUAGAGACGCGGUCUGAGAAAAUAUAUGACUAAUGACUAUUAUUAGAGACAUGAUUAGCGAAAACAUGUCACUAAUAAUCAUCCACAUCUAAGGUUUUGUGAUGUUUUUUGUUAUCAAUAAUGAUGAAAAAUGAGCGUCAUAAAUUAGUGACGAAAGAAAAAUCAUCACGAGAUUUAUGAUGAAAAAAUUUGUUUUCAUCACAAAAUACCUUUUAUUAAAGGGCAUAGGCGAUGAACGGAUUUUCAUCACGCAAGCGUCACAGAUUACGAACCAUAACGAAAAAACUAGUUUCAGUGACAUAAGUGAAACAUCACAGAAAGCCACAUAUGUUGUAGUGCCAUUUUGGGCAUGGCACAAGAGACACUUCGGUGGAAGUUGUUUCCUUUCUCCCUCGACCAGAGAGCGAAGCAAUGGCACGCCGAUAACAUAAGGAAGGUAAAUGGAGAAUGCGAUGAACUAAGAGAUAGAUUCUGUCUUACGUUCUUCCCUAUGUGUCACAUUGCUUCUAUACGAAAAGAUACUGAAACAACACUAUCUCCUCAGCCUUCUCAAUCGGCCUUUUAUCACUAGUGGCACGGAGCCACUGGAUAAUCUCCUUGGGCUGAAGGAGGCAUUCAUCUACUAGCAUUUUGAGGUCAGCCUCAGAACACUUGUUCUCCACCCAUCGCCCGCUGUGGUGGCCGGCUUGGAAUCCUUCCCCUUUGUCUUGGUGGCACCCUCCUUGCCGGCCAUCCUUGUUGUUACGAGUCACUUCACUCGCAUGCGCUUGGGGGCUAAGGACUGGCCGAUGGAGCGGCGCUCUAGAGAAGGAUGAAGGUCUCAAUGACUACUUUAACAGAACAGGUUCAACUACGAUUAGCCUGGAUCUGAAUCUGGAGGCGGCGGCGACUGAGCGACAGAGGAAGACAAAGGGCCAAAGCAGUGAAAGCACAAGCGCAAGGGUAAACCUAAGUCACUGCACGGUUAAAUAACUAGCGGCGGACACAGUUUUACUGUGCAGAAGUUGAGGAGUUUUUCAUGAGAUAUAAUUUGUUUUGAGUGGUAUUUUAGGAUAAUCUUAGGGAAGUUAUUUGAUUAAUUAUUUUUUAGGGAUAUUAUCCCAAAAAUGGGGUUUGUCAAAUUUCAAACCAAUUUUUUCCUAUCUUAACCAUCAACUCAAGUUCAUAAAAUACUUUACAAGGCAUGCCACAUUCAUUUGGAUCCUUUUUUCCAAACCUUUGGGAUUUAGAUUCAAGGCUCGGGGGGCUGUGGGACACGUGUUAGCAAUGGCUUAAUUUUUAAAAAUAUUUGGAAGAUAAGAAAAGAAGAUUCAAGACUAAUUUGACACUCAGCAUGAUUUUUCGAUUCAACCUAAGCCUCGGGGGCUACUCCAUAUGGAGUGCGAUUUUCAUCGCACCCCAUAUAAAAGAAGACAUAAAACUACUCAGGGCAUGAGUACCUCAUAGCCUCGAAGCAGCCAAGGAAGUACUCAGAGGAUGCCUUCAAGAUGACUUCAAAAGUACUCGAAAGCCUGCAGUACUCGGCUACAAAGAGCUCAGGGGCUUGUCAGACCCGAGGCCACGGGACUACGCACAUGGCAUAGAAUAUUCUAGAAUAAGAGAUGGGGUAUGGUAUGUCCCAUACUUUUUAUCUGUUGUAAAGUACUCGGAUACGAGUAGGACUAGUUGGUACAGAGGGAAACUACCCGAAUAGUACUUGUUGAUGGUGCUUAAAUCACAAAAUGAACCGUCAACCUCUGUAUCAUUUAAUAUAAAAUUAAUCACCAAUCUUAGCUAUAGGGCUUUAUUCUAACCAACUCCAUAAGUUUUGGUGAAUUGUGAUAUGCGAGUACCCACAUACAGAAAUUAAGGAAAAACACAAAUGACACCCAUAAGAAAUGCACAGAAGAUCAUCUACUGUGUUACAUAGAAUCGAAGGGCCCACAAAUCAAACCAAACGGGCGCGUCAAGGAACAAAUCACCAAGGAUCAAUGCCAAGACUGACAUGUCAGCUAUCUAUAGGAAGGUGGAGCCACGGAGGCGCCACCUAGGGUCGGCUGAACCUGGAAGUCUUCCCGGCUGCCCAAUCUUUAGCGGGAAGAUCAUCCUUAUCUUCUUGAUGAUGGCGGCCAAUAUUUCCAUAUGAAGAGAUGGCGGGAACCGACCUCUCAAGCUAUAAAAGGUGGCCUUCCCCUCCUCAUUCACACACACCAUUUUGGAGAAGAGGAAGAGAAGGGAGGACUCCACCUUUUAGAGCUACUUAAUAGAGUAGGUUAGGGAGUGUGUGGACGAGAAGUCCAGGAGCCGGAGUUGUCGGCCUCCCUCUACUGUACCUUGGUGGAUACGGACCUCUUUUGGGUAAGUUUUCGGGUUCAUCUAUGGUGGUGAGUUCUUAUUAAAGCAAAGACUUUGUUAUCAUUCACUUGUGGGAUCAUUGUCCGUUCUUGAACCGUUGUUUCUAGCAUAAAGACUUGAGUCUUAAGACGGAAUCUGUCCGGGGCUAGAAGCAGUAAUCGAUAGCAUAGACAUGGUGUCUAUGCUAGAAGUUACAUUUGUUUGCUACCAUUCUCCACGAUAUGAGAGGUAGGCGGCAGGUGGUGAUAACCCUAUCCAUCCUUCAUAUCCCUCCACGUUCGGGUUGUGAUGAGGACAUCGCCACCAACGAUACAUCCACACCUACACCAGUAUCUACUUCAACAACACCUCUUGGUCCUAUUACUUACGCUCGUGCUCAUCGGCUUACCUAUCUAGUAAGUUCACUCUUAAGCUCAGGUUCAUCAUAUUUAGAUAAUGGAGACAUGUGCACUCUUAUUUUACCCAGGAACAAUGGAUUGGAUCAAAAGAGAAGAGGCAUUGCACAGGCUGGAUUCGGACUGCAGGACAGACACGACUUGUGAUCACCGUCACGACUUCAUCCGGACUCCGUUUUGGUCGUUUAAGUACUUCCUCGAAAGCUUAUCAAAUCUACUUUCUAACGGAUCCAGAAUCACCUCCAAAUCUGUUCGGAGUCAACCGCAAUCCUCGAUUUACUACAGAGUCCUUUUCAGCCAUGGUGCUGCGUCACCCUAUUUUGGCCCAACAGGCCGUGUAUCAAGUUGAGUCCAAGUCAAAUACAUCCUAGGGUUGGAACAUGACCCCAGCACCCUUGUGGUCAUUCUCCCACUUCUUUAUAACCUUUAGCCACCGUCAAGAAUACUCGAGUUUUGUUAGAUGCAAGUUUAGCUUUCGCCACUUCCUUGUAGACGCACGUGCUGAUCCAGCCGCCCGUCCACUUAUUUUCGGAACCCCACCAUAAUUGAGAUUCGGUUUGAAACCUUUAGUUACAUCUCGUAAUUUCAGUACUUGUUCUACUUGUUCUUGCUAGUUCUUCGAUUGCUUGCAGGACGAGUACCCUAGUGGCCGAGUGUCGCGCUCCACAAGAUCGCGGCAACCAUAGGAGGUGGUGUAUUGGUUGCUAGGCGCAGCAUCCUUGGAAGGCUGUAGUCGGGCUGUGAACAUCGUCUCCUCCAUCAAUCGAGUUAUCCCACAUCUCUCAUCAAAAGAUUGGGAACAAACCCUAGCGGGUUCACAUCAGUUGGUAAUCAGAGCAAGGUUGUUCGGUGAGAGACUUCCAAUCCUUCGCUAUUUUUUUAUUUUCCUACAAUCCAGAAAAAGCCAAAAAUAGUAGAAAUUUUUUCCCCUCACCGCACUCCUAUAGACCCUUUUGAGCCUUUACUAGUACUGCUUAGUUAGGUCUUGUUGAGUUUUCGGUUGCAUCGGUUGUGUCGAGUUGCUGGUCUUAGUUGUAGUCCUUUAGAGUUUCAAGUUCCUAUCAUGUUUGGUCACGUACACUGUUUUUUAUCACUGUUUUGGCUGAAUCAGAAUAUACUUUGGCUAUCAAGUUUGACUUGGAAUCGGUUAAGCGCGUGAUGGCCGAGACCGACUUGAAUUCGGGUAGCCUAUCAUCUCGCGGUUGCCGAAUCUGAGUGCCUCUUUGUUAUCACAUCCGACUUGAAUUCGGUGCUGGUUGAAUCUGAGUCCAAACUGUGCACUAGAGGCAAUAACACUUCACACAUAUAUUUAAGUGUUCGGCCUACUCCAGAGAGAGAGAGAGUAUCUUUUAAUUACCUGUAUACCCCUACUCUUUCUGGAAGAAGCGUGUGUGGUGACUUGCUCACUUGUAUUCCUUUGUUCAUAGAAUCUGUUUUUGAGGUUCCCCUGAAAAAAUAGAAAAAAAGAAAAAAAGGAUCAGUGUUAAAAGAAAGAAGAAGAAAAAAGAAAAGAAAAAAAGAAGAAGCAAAGGGCUAAUUCAUUGUGUUUGUUUUUCCCUUCUGUUCAGGGUGGUGCUUUGUGACUUCCUUUGUGUCCAGGCUCGCGUCUCUAGCAUAGUCUAGACUAGGACCAGCACAGUACCACCGUUGAACGAUUAUUCAGCUUGCUUUUUUGACUAACGUGGUGCUAGUACUUCCUUGUUCUAGCCCACCUACAGCUCCACAUAUUCGACUACAGCUCCACAGGUCUUGUUGCUAUAGCACCAAUACACUUCAUUCCAUGGUUGCAGACUUGUUGGUUGUCGUCCCCUCCUGGCAGCAAGAUAAGAAUUGGUAAGAGCUUUUGCAACAGGUUGAGUGUGAGCGUCUUGCAGUAGUUACACCCUAUUAGCUGUAGGGAUUUUACUACUUCACCUGUUUUUCUUGUUGUUCUUAUUUUUCUCACCAUGGCAGGCUCCAAGGAGGAGAAUCAUAGCUUGCAUCAGCCUCCACGUACCAGGGGCGUCAUACAACAUUUUGAAAGGCAAAUGCAGCGGCACACAGAGGGACUUGAUAAUGAUAUGCAGAUGACGAAUGACAAGAUUGGACAAUUGGAGGCUACGCAGAUUGCUACCAACACCAAGCUUACGGGCCUGGAGAUAGCAGUCGGCAAUAUUGACAAGAGUCUCGCUGCUCUUUUGCGGCGUUUUGAUGAGCUCCAUGCGAAGACCAACGAAUAGCGUGAUGAUUGGGAGGAUGAAUAUAUUGCUGAUACUGAACAAGAUGAACAAGACGCUCGCCAUCGUCGACGGCUACGCACUAAUCAUAGAGGUAUGGGUGGUUUUCGCCGACGUGAGGUACUCAAUAAUGAUGAUGCUUUUAGCAUGAUUGAAUUUAAGAUACCUCCUUUUGAUGGUACAUAUGACCCCGAUGCAUACAUUACUUGGGAAAUUGCUGUUGAUCAAAAGUUUGCAUGCCAUGAUUUUCCUGAGAAUGCACGUGUUAGGGCUGCUACUAGUGAGUUCACUGAUUUUGCUUCUAUUUGGUGGAUAGAACAUGGCAAGAAAAAUACUGAUGACAUGCCACAAACUUAGGAUGCUUUCAAACGGGUCAUGCGGGCUAAAUUCGUUCCUUCUUACUAUGCAUGUGAUCUGUUACAUAAGUUACAAUAAUUAAGGCAAGGCACUAGAAGUGUAGAAGAAUAUUAUUAGGAAUUGCAAAUGGGUAUGCUACGUUGUAAUUUAUCGAAGGGUGAGGAACCUGCUAUGGCUAAAUUUUUGGGCGGGUUAAAUCGAGAAAUUUAGGAUAUUCUUGCAUAUAAAGAUUAUACUAACGUAACCCGUUUGUUCCAUCUUGCUUGUAAAGCUGAAAGGGAGGUACAGGGACGACGUGCUAGUGCUAGGUCUAAUGUUUUUUCAGGUAAAUCUACAUCAUGGCAGCCACGCAUGACUACUUCUAUGGGCGGACGUGCAUCUGUACCAGCUCCUUCACCGAGUCGUGCAGUAGCACCUUCUCCAUCCAGCGAUAAGCCACACACUCCUCCCACCACUUCAGCAACCAAGACUAUCCAGAAGCUAGCCGCUAGUGCUUCCUCAGUUGCAUCCACAGGUAGAAUAAGGGAUGUCCAGUCAUUGGUGCAAGGGCUUUGGGCACGUGCAGCGUGACUGUCCUACCAAACGUGUUUUCAUGGUCAAAGAUGAUGGUGCGUAUUCCUCUGCUAGUGAUUUUGAUGACGAAACACUUGCUUUGUUUGCUGCUAACCAUGCAGGUAAUGAGGGAACACCAGACGAACAUAUUGAUGCAGGUGCAGCCGAACACUAUGAGAGUCUCAUUGUGCAGCGUAUGCUUAGUGCACAAAUGGAGAAGGUGGAGCAAAAUCAGCGACACACGCUGUUCCAAACUAAGUGUGUCAUUAAAGAGCGUUCCUGUCAUAUGAUUAUUGAUGGAGGUAGCUGCAACAAUUUGGCUAGCGGCGAAAUGGUGGAGAAGCUUGCACUCAGCACCAAACCACACCCACAUCCGUAUCACAUUCAAUGGCUAAACAACAGUGGUAAGGCUAAGGUAACGAGGCUGAUGCACAUUAAUUUUGCAAUCGGCUCAUAUCAUGAUGUUGUUGAGUGCGAUGUUGUGCCUAUGCAAGCUUGCCAUAUUCUGCUCGGUAGGCCUUGGCAAUUUGAUACGGAUUGUGUGCACAAUGAGAGUCUCAUUGUGCAGCUCUUGCACCAUGAUAAUAAAAUUGUGUUGCUUCCUAUGUCUCGUGAAGCUAUUGUGCGUGAUGAUACUGCUAGAGCUGCCAAAGCUAAAAGUGAGACCAAUAAAAUUGUCAAGUCAGUUGCUAAUAAGCAAGAUGAGAUAUGAUUGAAAGGAACUUGCUUGCUUUCUACUAAAUCUGAUAUUAAUGACUUGAUUGCUACCACUUGUGUUGCCUAUGCUUUGGUGUGCAAAGAUGCUUUGAUUUCCAUUCAUGAUAUGCAGCACUCCUUGACCCCUGCUAUCACUAAUGUUUUGCAGGAGUAUUCUGAUGUGUUUCCAAGUGAAAUACUAGCGGGGUUGCCACCAAUAUGAGGGAUUGAGCACCAAAUUGAUCUGAUUCCAGGUGCAUCGUUGCCCAACCAUGCGCCAUACAGGACCAAUCCGGAAGAAACGAAAGAGAUUCAGCGACAAGUGCAAGAACUACUUGACAAAGGUUAUGUACGUGAGUCCCUUAUUCCUUGUGCUGUUCCGGUUAUUUUAGUCCCCAAGAAAGAUGGAACGUAGCGUAUGUUUGUCGAUUGUAGAGCUAUUAACAAUAUCACAAUUCGAUAUCGACAUCCUAUUCCACGUUUGGAUGAUAUGCUUGAUGAAUUGAGUGGUGUUGUUGUGUUUAUCAAAGUUGAUUUGCGUAGUGGGUAUCACUGGAUUCGCAUGAAAUUGGGAGAUGAAUGGAAAACUGCUUUCAAAACUAAGUUCGGGUUAUAUGAGUGGCUAGUCAUGCCUUUUGGGUUAACUAAUGCACCUAGUACCUUCAUGCGAUUAAUGAACGAGGUUCUGCGUGCUUUCAUUGGAAAAUUUGUUGUGAUCUACUUUGAUGAUAUAUUGAUUUAAAGCAAAUCCAUGGAGGCACAUCUUGAUCAUUUACAUGCUAUUUUUACUGCUUUACGUGAUGCACGUUUAUUUGGUAACCUUGAGAAGUGCGUCUUUUGCAUAGAUCGAGUAUCUUUUCUUGGCUAUGUUGUUACUCCACAGGGAAUUGAAGUUGAUCAAGCCAAGGUGGAAGCUAUUCAAGGAUGGCCUGUACCAAAGACUAUCACAUAGGUGCGGAGUUUUCUAGGACUUGCUGGGUUCUAUCGUCACUUCAUGAAGGAUUUCAGCACCAUUGCGGCACCGUUGAAUGCGCUUACGAAGAAGGGGGUGCCUUUUUCUUGGGGCACCACACAAAAGAAUGCGUUCACUAUGUUGAAAGAUAAGUUGACACAUGCACCUCUCCUCCAACUUCCUGAUUUUAAUAAGACCUUUGAGCUUGAAUGUGAUGCUAGUGGAAUUGGUUUGGGUGGUGUUUUGUUACAAGAUGGUAAACCUGUUGCAUAUUUUAGUGAGAAAUUGAGCGGACCUGUUCUUAAUUAUUCUACUUAUGAUAAGGAAUUGUAUGCUCUUGUGCGCACAUUAGAAAUAUGGCAGCAUUAUUUGUGACCCAAAUAGUUUGUUAUCCAUUCUGAUCAUGAAUCUUUGAAACAUAUUUGUAGUCAAGGAAAACUGAACCGUAGGCAUGCUAAGGGGGUUGAAUUCAUUGAAUCUUUUCCUUAUAUCAUCAAACACAAGAAAGGGAAAGGGAACGUCAUUGUUGAUGCUUUGUCUAGGCGAUAUACUUUGUUGACACAACUUGAUUGCAAGAUUUUUGGUUUGGACACAAUUAAAACACAAUAUGUGAAUGAUGCUGAUUUUAAGGAUGUCUUGCUGCAUUGUAAGGAUGGAAAAGCAUGGAACAAAUUCAUCAUCAAUUAUGGGUUUGUGUUUCAAGCUAACAAGCUAUGGAUUCCAGCUAGCUUCGUUCGUUUGUUAUUGUUACAGGAAGCGCAUGGAGGUGGCUUGAUGGGGUAUUUUGGUGCAAAGAAGAUAGAGGAUGUACUUGCUUGUCAUUUUUUGGCCAAAAAUGAGAAGAGAUGUGGAGCGAUUUGUUGCACACUGCACUACAUGUCAAAAAGCUAAGUCACGUUUAAAUCCGCAUGGUUUGUAUAUGCCUCUACCAGUUCCUAGUGCUCCUUGGGAUGAUAUUUCUAUGGAUUUCGUGUUGGGAUUGCCUAGAACUAGGAAGGGACGUGAUAGUAUUUUUGUGGUUGUGGAUAGAUUUUCUAAGAUGGCACACUUUAUUCCAUGUCAUAAAACUGAUGAUGCUACACAUGUUGCUGAUUUGUUCUUUCGAGAAAUUGUUCGUUCGCAUGGUAUGCCAAACACAAUUGUUUCCGAUCAUGAUGCCAAAUUUCUUAGCCACUUUUAGAGAACUUUAUGGGCACAAUUGGAAACUAAGCUUCUAUUUUCUACUACUUGUCAUCCCCAAACUGAUGGUCAAACUGAAGUUGUUAAUCAAACCUUGUCUACCAUGUUAAGGGUUGUUUUAAAGAAGCAUAUUAAGUUGUGGAAAGAAUGUUUGCCUCAUGUUGAGUUUGCUUAUAAUCGUUCCAUGCAUUCUACUACAAAUAUGUGCCCUUUUGAGAUUGUUUAUGGCUUGAUACCUCGUGCUUCUAUUGAUUUAAUGCCUUUGCCCACUUUUGAAAAAUUGAACUUUGAUGCUAAGCAACGUGCUGAACUGAUGUUAAAACUGCAUGAAACAAAUAAAGAAAACAUAGAGUGCAUGAAUUCUACGUAUAAGCUUGCUGGUGAUAAAGGUAGAAAGCAAUUAAUUUUUAAACUUGGUGAAUUGGUUUGGUUGCACUUGAGAAAAGAUAGGUUUCCAGCUUUGAGAAAGUCUAAAUUGAUGCCUCGGGCUGAUGGUCCGUUUAAAGUGCUAGAGUGAAUUAAUGAUAAUGCAUAUAAACUAGACCUGCCUGUAGAUUUUGGGGUUAGUCCCACAUUUAACAUUGCAGAUUUGAAGCCAUUUAGGAGAGGACGAUGAGCUUGAGUCGAGGACGACUCAAAUGCAAGAAGGGGAGGAUUAUGAGGAUAUCGCCACCAACGAUACAUCCACACCUACACCAGUAUCUACUUCGACAACACCUCUUGGUCCUAUUACUCGCGCUCGUGCUCAUCGGCUUACCCAUCUAGUAAGUUCACUCUUAAGCUCAGAUUCAUCAUAUUUAGACAAUGGAGACACGUGCACUCUUGUUUUACUCAGAAACAAUGGAUUGGAUCAAAAGGGAAGAGGCAUCACGCAGGCUUAAUUCGGACUGCAGGACAGACAUGACUUAUGAUCACCGCCAUGACUUCAUCCAGACUCCGUUUUGGUCAUUUAAGUACUUCCUGGAAAGCUUAUCAAAUCUACUUUCCAACGGAUCUAGAAUCACCUCCAUAUCUGUUCGGAGUCAACUGCAAUCCUCGAUUUACUACAGAGUCCUUUUCAGCCACGGUGCUGCGUCACCCUAUUUUGGCCCAACGGGCUGUGUAUCAAGUUGAGUCCAAGUCGGAUGCAUCCUAGGAAUAGAACAUGACCCCAGCACCUUUAUGGUCAUUCUCCUACUUCUUUAUCACCUUUAGCCGCUGUCAAGAACACUCGGGUUUUGUUAUAUGCAAGUUUAGCUUUUGCUACUUCCUUGUAGACACGCGUGCUGAUCCAGCCGCCCGUCCACUUAUUUUCGGAACCUGUGACAUUCAGGUAUUUAGAAUUAAAACACAAUAGAUUCUAAUAUAAAGUGUGUAUGUUUGAUCUUUUGUAUGUGUGCCAAAACUUUAAUGCAAAAGUAAAAGGAUCUUUUUAUAAUUCUAGAAAAUUUAGGUCCUUUGGUGCAAAAUGGGUGAGAAUGGGAGGUAAAAUCAAAACAUAUGAAGGUUGUUUUGCAAAAAGUUAAGAACUUACUUUUAAACCGCAAAUAGAGGUGAAACUACCCAAAGGAUGUAAGUGUAGUGUAGAUUUUAAAUAGGAUUUCUUUAAAGUUUAAAACUUUGCCAAGUUUUAGGUUAAAUUCAAAUCCUUAACUCUACACUUUUGCUUUUGGGCACAUUUCCAUUUCAGCUAUGGUUUGAAAGUUAACUAGGCUUUACAGUAGAGUCCCCACAUUUUUGGAAAAUCAUGGAUUAGUCCCUAUCUUCAACCUCCAGCUCCCCUUGCUCUAUUUCUGCUCGCGCCCGUGACUCCACCGCCGCCGGCCGUUUCCCGAGCUGCUCGCUGACCCCGCGCCACUCUCCUCCACCCCACGUGGCUCCUUGCUAGCCCCGCCCGCCACUCGUGCAGCUCCUGCUGGCUCUCCCCCGCCCCGCCACGUUGGGCCGCCGGUGCCGAGGCCGCCACGCGGCCGAGGGUGCCCGACGGGGCACGGUGACGGCGCCGUCGAUCUGUGGUUGGCCGCGCGCCUACUCUCUCCCUCUCUACCGCACGACACCACUCUAUAAAACCUUGACUGAAACUUCCCUCGCUCACCUCCCCUUUCUUCUUCCUCACGAGCGCCAAGCCGAGCGCCGAGCCGUCCACCGAAAUUCCUCACCGCCCCGCCCUACCCCGUCUCAAUUCCAGCGCCCCAAAGCUUCCUCACCACCCCUGCUUGCCCCUCGACCCACCCUAGCCGAGCUAUGUCCUCUCCUUAAUCGGAAUCGGGUGAAUCCCGUGCCGCCUUUGCCGCUAGAGAAACCCGAGCCACCUCCACACCGCCGACCCCCUUCUGCUCCACCUCCGGCCGAAAUAGGUACCGAAAUCGCAUCCCCACAACUCCACGAUGCUCGUGCGCGCUCCAUCCUUCAACGUUCGUCGGCUCCUCGCCGGGAACACGGGCGCACCGCCACGGCCGCCGCCAUUCCUCGCCGUCGACCAUGCUCCGCUGCCCUUCCUUGUGCUCAUCACCUACCAACGUGUGCACCACAUUCCGUAGAUGGUAUAGGACCGGUUUGCCCCUCGCCAAAACCUCGCCGCCGGCGAGAACACACCGGUCAGGCUGCCACGGCCGCCAUCUGGGCCUGGCAAGGGCCACAUUGCAAUUUAAGUUUUAAUUCUAGGGUCCCCUAUGCAAAACCCGAGGGCCUCUCUGCAAGUUUCUCUUUUAGUCUUGUUUGCAAAAGCUGUCAAAUUAUAAAAUUAAUAGAAAUUUGUAGAAAAAUCCAAAAAUUGUCAAACCAAUUUUGUUAUACUCCUGAAGUUUAGUUCUACAACUUUGAUUACUAGAGUAUGGUUUGAAACCCAAUGCUUGUUAAGUUAUUCUAAAGUUUAGCAAAAGGGUGUAUUUUGCGUAACUUUUGCAUAUUAGCUUCUUUUCAUGUGAUUUUUGGGGUACAGCAUGUUUAAAGUGUAUGCAAGUUUAUGUAAAAGUUCCACCUUAAUCUCUGUACUCUAUCUUGAACUAAUUUGAACUUAGUCAAAUCAAGCUUGAAAUGAUUUAAAUUUAUUCAAACAUGUUACUAAGGUUUUCAUGCUUAGAUGUUUUUACCAUGUGCUGUUCUGCAAUAGAAUAGUUCAUAGUAAAUCUUUCAAAAAUUUAUAACACUGUUUUGCUUAAGAUUUGAAUUUAAAAUUGACAUUUGAAUUAAAUUCAAAUGCUUUAGUGUUUGUUUUAGAAAAUUAUGAAAAAUUCAUAGUAAGCUCAUCCAUUAGGAAUAAUCUUACUCACGAAAAUACAAGACCAUAUCCUUUAUGAAUUUCAAGAUAAAAAUCAAACUUGUUAACUAAAUUCAAUUAAAUUAAUUAAUUUGAUAAUUGAAUCAAAGUACACAUGGUGGGUUUGAAUUCAAAUUUCCUGCUUUAUAAAAAUAUGUUUAUCAAUUGGUUGGAUUGCAACUUUAUCAUGAAGUAAAAUUCUUAACUCAAGAACUAUCUAAUUCAAAUCAUUGCAUAUCAUGUAGAGUUAGCGACACUUGAUGACGGAGACUACGAACUAGUCCCGGAAAACGAGCAAGGGUUUUCUGAAGAUCCAGUGAACGUCGUCGAGAAUUUAACUAAAGCCCCGAACCAAGGUUCGGAAGUCUUUGACAUCCCUAACCCCAGCCUCGCUCAAGAAGGCAAGCUCCGAUGCAUAACCCAGUAUUUUAAAUUAUUACGCAUAUACAGUUUCUACUUAUAUAUCUAUAUUAUGUAUUAAGUCCAGGAUUUGAAAUGAAAUCCUAGAUGCAUGAAUCCUAGGAACCUAUGUAUUGAGCCUGAGUCCUUAUCGAAUAGAUGCUUUGCUAAUAGGACCGGCAGAAGUCGAGUGAUUUUCUAUCACUCGCGCGAUAUAGGAAUUGAAUGUUUACUAUUCUGCAAUCACUAUAAGGAUGAUGGACGGGGUCAUGUGCAUUAACAUGACCUGGAAGGUUACCCCAUCUGUGUGGAUAAAAGUUGCUAAGGUCGCAGUGUGUGAUAGCUGUGGUUAAGCGUUUGAAAGUACUAGCCACAUGCCGCGAAAUAUGGUAAGCGGUAAGCCUAGUAACCAAUCGGCCCGAGGAGUGGACAUACCUCCCACCACUCGUAAUUUGGUUUUUCAUACGCGCCGACGUGCGGGAGUACGUUCCGUACAGCGGACAGGAGUACGGUCAUGUAGUCACGCUAUUGACGUACGUCCUGCACAUUGGAUGUGUGUAUGGUCCUACAGUUGGUUGUGGUGGCCCUGAUCAACGAGUCGGAAUGAAAGGCAAACGGUUGCUCCAGAAUGAUCAUUGGAUGUUCUAAGCGUGUGAGUUAGAUUUACCCUUGCAAGGUUAUGAAACUCGAUUCAGAAUCGUCCAUUUCUCACAGAGAUUGAGACUGCUUAUUUCUUCUGCCACAUAGAGUAAGAACAGUAACUCUUGUUGGAAUAAUCUUGAUGGAUGUUAAUCUCUACCUUGCUUGUCUAGUACAGGUGCUUACCUAGAAUGGUUAAUGCAACUAGAAGCUGAAAACUAAAACAUAAAAGUUAGAUCAUACUCUUUGUUGCUUUUUAGCUGAAAUGAAACCUAGAACCAUUACAAGCCUUCAUAAGUCUAGUUACAUGGCAAAGUUUACCAUAAAACGGGUAAGUCUUGCUGAGUAUUAGCAUACUCAGUCUUGCUAGUCUGUCUUUCAGGUAUGGCCUAUGUGAACCAAACGGAUUGUCCAGCCUGGCCAUCCUCUGUUCCAUUUGGCUGGUCUGUGGAAUGGGAUCCAUCCCCGGCUAGCAAUAACCCUCCGGAAUGACGCCAUGUUUCGGGCUGAACGUGGUGUCAACUUUCGCGACGUGUGUAGUCGCGUGUGAAUUUCUUCCGCUGUGACUCUGAACAAGCUGUUUAGCUUGUUGUGUUAAACAAUGUUUGUAUAAGAUUACUUUAAGCUUGAAACAGUUUGUAAUAAUAUUUAUUAUCUCUGUAAAUUAAAAGUUGGUGAGCUGUGGUGUGAUUGUAAACUCGCCUUCGUGCGAGGUAAACCUACUUCGAUCCUGUUGAACCGUGGUUGUAUCGGGCGGUGACACGACAGACCAAUGGGUUGUUCCGUUUGAAGUGCGUUGAGUUAGUAUCGCCUGUAUAGCGAUGACUAGCGCACUUGAGCUAGAAUAAUUCAGGCGGUUCUGCCACACCCAUCAUAAUUGAGAUUCGGUUUGAAACCUUCAGUUACGUCUCAUAAUUUCAGUACUUGUUCUACUUGUUCUUGCUAGUUCUUCGAUUGCUUGCAGGACGAGUGCCCUAGUGGCCGGGUGUCGCGCUCUACAAGAUCGCGGCAACCAUAGGAGGUGGUGUAUCGGUUGCUAAGGCACAGCAUCCUUAGAAGGCUGUAGUCGGGCCGUGAACGUCGUCUCCUCCAUCAAUCGAGUUAUCCCACGCCUCUCAUCGAAAAAUUAGGAAUAAACCCUACCGGGUUCACAUCAGGUUGGGCGUAGAGCUAAUAGCCGGAGGCACACUACUAGAAAUAGUAGCAUCCAUGAUGUUUUUCCGUGUGAAGUUUCAAACUUCGUCAUUGAAAAGACCACAUCUAUGACGAAAAUCACACUUUCGUCAUAGUUCUCCGGCGGCAGCCCUCAGCCCCUUCGGAACUAUGAUGAAAGUACAACGCGUGUCACAGAACAAUAUCUCAUAUCGUCACAAAAACGGUGCGCCAUCAACUCCUCGUAUUUGUGAUGACCGCGACUCGUUAUAGAACUAGUGGGAUGGGGAGCACAUAUAUUUUAGAUUGUUCCGUAAAGGUUAUAACUAAGAUGGAUUCAUAUGAAGAAAUAUGUAUAGUUUAUCUUUCUCUUUUAAUUCGGGAUUAAAAUAGUAUUUCUCCCU
rnacentral:lncRNA from 1 species